rnacentral:rRNA from 1 species
CAGCAGCCACGGGAAUACGGAGGGUGCAAGCGUUAAUCGGAAUUACUGGGCGUAAAGCGCACGCAGGCGGUUUGUUAAGUCAGAUGUGAAAUCCCCGAGCUUAACUUGGGAACUGCAUUUGAAACUGGCAAGCUAGAGUCUUGUAGAGGGGGGUAGAAUUCCAGGUGUAGCGGUGAAAUGCGUAGAGAUCUGGAGGAAUACCGGUGGCGAAGGCGGCCCCCUGGACAAAGACUGACGCUCAGGUGCGAAAGCGUGGGGAGCAAACAGGAUUAGAUACCCCAGUAGUCCCUGUCUCUUAUAC